AACGAACGCUGGCGGCAGGCUUAACACAUGCAAGUCGAGCGGGCCCUUCGGGGUCAGCGGCGGACGGGUUAGUAACGCGUGGGAACGUGCCCUUUGCUUCGGAAUAGCCCUGGGAAACUGGGGGCAAUACCGGAUGUGCCCUGAGGGGGAAAGAUUUAUCGGCAAGGGAUCGGCCCGCGUCUGAUUAGGUAGUUGGUGAGGUAACGGCUCACCAAGCCGACGAUCGGUAGCUGGUUUGAGAGGAUGAUCAGCAACACUGGAACUGAGACACGGCCCAGACUCCUACGGGAGGCAGCAGUGGGGAAUCUUAGACAAUGGGGGCAACCCUGAUCUAGCCAUGCCGCGUGGGUGAUGAAGGCCUUAGGGUCGUAAAGCCCUUUCGCCGGGGAAGAUAAUGACGGUACCCGGUAAAGAAACCCCGGCUAACUCCGUGCCAGCCGCCGCGGUAAUAC
rnacentral:rRNA from 1 species